rnacentral:rRNA from 2 species
CAUGCAAGUCGAGCGAACAGAUGAGAAGCUUGCUUCUCUGAUGUUAGCGGCGGACGGGUGAGUAACACGUGGGUAACCUACCUAUAAGACUGGGAUAACUCCGGGAAACCGGGGCUAAUACCUGAUAAUAUUUUGAACCGCAUGGUUCAAUAGUGAAAGACGGCUUCGGCUGUCACUUAUAGAUGGACCCGCGCCGUAUUAGCUAGUUGGUAAGGUAAUGGCUUACCAAGGCAACGAUACGUAGCCGACCUGAGAGGGUGAUCGGCCACACUGGAACUGAGACACGGUCCAGACUCCUACGGGAGGCAGCAGUAGGGAAUCUUCCGCAAUGGGCGAAAGCCUGACGGAGCAACGCCGCGUGAGUGAUGAAGGUCUUAGGAUCGUAAAACUCUGUUGUUAGGGAAGAACAAAUUUGUUAGUAACUGAACAAGUCUUGACGGUACCUAACCAGAAAGCCACGGCUAA